rnacentral:misc_RNA from 1 species
AGUCGUAACAAGGUAUCCGUAGGUGAACCUGCGGAUGGAUCAUUAACACACACAUACACGUCAUUUUCUAGUUGGGCGUUGAAGUUGACAGCAAUGUUGUCUUCCUCGCACACACUAGAAAAUACGCCCUACAGAGAAUUUGUUAAGUCCUUUAACAAAACCAAACAAACUACAAAACCGUUUUACCUAAAAACAUUUACUUUCUUGCUUAACGGCUCGAAAGCAAAACAUACAAUAAUUAAAGACACAAUUUUUGACAAUGGAUAUCUUGGCUCGCUG